CUCCCUCUCCGGUGAGUGAUCCCACAUCUCCUACCUCUGGCUUCAUCUCUUUCUCUUGUGCUGCUCUAGGUAGGUGGUACUAUAUGCUCUGUUUCAUGGCUAUGUGUGUAGUGCUUGAUGUGCUUCGAUUAUACUCUUGUAUCAUAUCAUGGGAAAGAUUAUGUUCCGUAUCUACUAUCACCUCCAGAUUACUUACUUGUUUGUUUGAUAUAUUCAGAGCUGCAGGCACCCUCCGUGGAUGAGGACGACAACCAAGGCAUCCAUGGUCGACAGCUCGAUGGCUCCUCGGGUAAGCAACACCCCCACAUGGUCGCUUCAGUUUUCAACGCCUUCUUUUCUGUUUGUGUGGGCUGAAAAUGUGUGAGCUUUAUAUGGCACAAGGGUGUGCAUUCACUGAUGAAUCAUUAUAUCUUUGAUAUUACGAAUGUUUGAAGUCUGAACCUCCUAUGUACGACGAUGUGUAUAUUCUGUAAAAUGUGUAUUUUCAUCAUUUGUCUGACAGUCUAAUACUGAGCUUAAACAUGUACUCUUGGAUGAUAUGCGUGAGUUGUGGACUUCCUGCCCUUUAUCACAAAUCUACAGUACAUGCUUCAGAAUUUAGUUGGCAUAAGAUUAAUUGUGUUUUUUAUUUUGAGGAGGAAAGAGUACCUUGUUGAACCAACUGUUUGGGACUAAUUUUAGGGAGAACCUACUCGGCGGUCCUGAUGUUGCACUCGGCAGCGGCGCCGGCGGUGGCAUCGUCUUGUUUCAGAUUUACUGAAUGUGAGUGUGCAUCAAGUUUCAGAUUUGUGCAAGAAUCAUCUUGUGUCUUUCGCGUUGUGUCUUUGUGUUGUUGAAUUCAGGUUCCUGUCUUUCUGUUCGUGGAAAAUCUUGUUCCUCCAAAUAUAUUAGAGAGAGAGAGAGGAUUGCGAUCUUGCUUGGGUCGUGUAAUCAGAUUUAAAGGACACUAUUUAUAGUAGAUAGGCAUAUGGUUCAUUGCUAGCUUGCUAGACCUGCGUGGCAAAUGCCAGUGUCUAUUUAUGCAAGGUAUAGCUUUCUGGAUAAGUAAUACCCCUUUAUCUGUACAUAUAGUGGCCAUGAAGGGUGGCUGAGCCAUCAGGAGCGGCAGCGGUGGCCUGCUGCGGACGCUGCUGCGGCUCCCUGUUCUUCAUCGCCUGCGUCUACCUGCUCCGUGCCGACCCCAUGUAUAUCCUCUCCUCCCCGUGCUUCUCUUGCCUGGGAGGCAACUCUUCAGUGUGCUUGACAUGGUCCAUCUUCUCCUCCCCAUUGCUCUCUCUAAUCCCCAAUGUUCACAUUUGGUCUGCUCUUGUCUUGUAGAUGUGCAGGAAGAAAAGGGCCAUAAGAUUGUACAGGCAGAACAUGAUGUUGUUCUGUUCAACCACAUUGCCCCUGGUAAACACGAUGUAGGCAGUGUGGCGUGGAUAGCCGAUGCUUUAAAAUAAUUGUAGCGUUGAUCCACUUUUCACAUACUGAAUCCUAACAACAGGGAAUAAGGGCUAGGAUCAAAUACAAUGAGUAAGUAGCAAAAUUAGAACGAUAAUUGUUUAUUAGAAGCAUUCAUCCGGAUGGAUUUGUGAGAUGCAUAUAUAAUGAUGGCUCCAGUUCAAGUGAUGACAUAGCAGUAGCUGAAAUAGAAAUUCAGUGAGCAUCUUCGUGUUAGAUUUCAUUUAGUUUCAAUUAGCAUUGGGCACUGGCUGGUUUCAAUCUUGCUACCAUCUAUUUGGGAGCCCCCUUCUAGAGGUUGGCACGGGUGAAGUGGCAGCCACUGAUUGCGUUGUAAACAACAUGAAUAGUGAGCCCGAUGAGCAGGCUAACGGUGCGGGCGAGAUCAGUUAGUACGACAGAUAGAAUGUUCAUGCAUAUUGAAAUGUGCCUUAUUGACUAAAUUUGAUAUUAACAUGUGUCGUUCACCUUACGCGCAGAUAUGGUUGCAAAGGUUGAAGAAGAGUAUGUCGAUCCGGAGCCUGAGCAAGCUAUAUUACCACCCCUAGCCAACAGUAAGUUCCUGCAAGACAAACACAACAACAUGUGUGUGGCAUAAGUAAAUAACUGAGUUAAUUUUGUUCCUAUGAUAUGACCUGAAACAUCUUCGCGUUAGAUUUCAUGUACUUACUAAUGCUUUGACCUGAAACUGGAACCACUGUAGCUGUUCUGCUGCCAAUAUAACUUCGUUUGCAUUUAGUUUGUCGUAAUAUUAAUUCAGGUUCUAUAGUCUGCUAGGUUAAGUUGUUUAUUUAGUUAAGUUCCCAUCUAAUUGCCUGAAUUAGUCAUGUAUGGAGAGCAGCUAAAAGUUAGAACAGGGUAUGCAACAAUAGUGUGAUUUAUGUUGCUGGAAGUACUGCCAAUGCUCUUGUCAUUUUUUAGCUUUGCUCUCGGUUUUGUUGGCAAGGGAUCUUUGGUCAUGAAUCCAUUGUAGAAUGGAAAUAGUUCAGCACCAAGGGAUAAUCGAAAUUACUAUCAUGAUAUUCUAGGUAGUAAUUACUCAAAAAUAUUUUUUUUGUUCUUCCAUUUUUCUCCUUUAGUUUGGUAUGAUGAUGAGUUGAUGCCCCGUCAUGUAAUUAUUCGAAGAUAGCCUGACUGUAAUAUAUCUGGGAGAAAUAUUACUACGAAUGGAGAAAGCUUUAUUUCAGGCAUCUCAAUUAUCGUCCUAAUAUUACAGUCAGACUAUCUUGAAUGAAAGACAUGGUUCGUGUGCAUCAUGACAUUCCCUGCAAUAUUUCUUUCUACGUAAUCAUUCAUGUGUGUAUAUGUGGGUAUGUUUGUUGGUAUCUACUCACUAUAUUAUAUAUUGUGUUAUUCAGAGAUCUCGGGCCCUGCUGGGAGAUCAAAGGCUGGAAGUGCAUGCAAGAGGGCAUGUUAAUCAGGCAGAUUAUCAUUCAAAGUCUGGAUCUACGAUGCUUGUGGCGCAGGUCCUGUUUCUCUCAUUCCUCCCUCCCAAUCCUCAAGUUUCUGGAUCAUGGACGUAAUCUGGGCACAGUCACAUCUUUUUUUGGUAAAUGCAUAUGAGCAACGAACUUGGGAGGAUUUUUAUUCUGUUGUUAGUUUGCUUCAUCUAAAUAUAUGAUGUAUUAAUUUGUACGCUGAUGAACAAUUUGGCUGAUACAUAUGGUUCCUUAGCUUAUAUUUCCGACCAUUACAAUUAGGUGUCUUGAUUGGCUUUGUGACUUGAUAACAUAUUGUGGUUCGACCAGAUUGGAUUGCGAGAUGCGACAUUAUGCAGGGGAGUCCUAUUUUUAUUUCAAAAGCUCGGUAUUUUUUUACAAUGGAUGGCACAACUUAGGCACGCUUCUCUUCUUUGCCCAACCUGUUCCCGGAAUGUUUAUUUUAGUUCCUUCCCGCAUCAGUUCUUUUUUAUCUUUAGGCUGAAUGAUAGAGUGGAGAUGUUAAACUCCUUCAUGAUUAGAACAUGGUGAUAAGGAGAACAUAUUUUUUGAGUUAUGAUUUAUUUGAGAUGUUUAGACAAUGAUUGCUACUUUCAAAUUGAUUUGAUAUGUUUCUCUGAAGUUUCAUUCAUUUCAUGUGUGUUCAUGUAUAUAUACUAGAAGUUGUUAUGGCUCACUUCCAUUUAUAUCAUGUUGACACGGCGAAUCAGCUGGUUAGAAUUCUGUAUAUUUUUCUUCACCUUGUGAGAGGCACAUCUUUCAACCAAGAAUGUCAUCAGUGACUAUCCAGAGGACAUGG
rnacentral:lncRNA from 1 species